CCUCACCUGGCUCCUAAGGCAGGCAGCCUGCUGGGACGUGGGCCCUUCCCUUCCAACUCAGAGCUAGCAGAGCAUGCACACAUGAUCUCUGCCUGGUGCUGCAAGGUGACAGAGCUCACAGCCAGGUUUUUGGCAGAGGCAGGCAUUCCUCUCGUUCAAGCUGCUGAGACCUCAGCCUGGAGUUAUUUCAGUGGGGGCUGGGGGAUGUUGAUGCUGAAUAUCAUGCUCCUUUCUGGUGCUGGUGAGGGAGAUUUGCACAAAUGGUUCCCCUGGAGCUGCAGGGAAGUAUUCCCACGGGGUCUGGACAGCUGCAGGAAAUGUCAGAAACCCAGAGCAGGUAGCACCGAUACUGACUCAGCACGAAGCCCGUGUGCAUGACUGGUCCUGGUCAGCCAGCAGAAAACAUUGCACAAUCAACCUCCCUCCAGGUGCAGUGCAGGACAGGGAAGUCUACGGGGGUGCUUCCUCCCUCCCAUUGCUUUGGGGGGCUCUCAUCCCCCUCCUUCAGCGGUACUUGAGCAGAGGCUACCCCCAAUGCAGGAAUCGGCUGUAUCCAAGAACCAAAUCUGCAUAGAGGAAGAAAAGGAAAGACCAGCAGCAAGGUAGGAAAUGGCUUCUUGGAAAAGGCUUCCUGCACUUUGACAAUGAAGAGGCAAUUUCCCAGAAGGCUGCAGAUGUUCCCCUUAAAAAUCGUGGCUCAGAAAUGCUCAUUAAUGACAGCUGUAAUCUUGCAUUUUGCUGGCUCAGUUUAAUCAGCCUGUUCUGACAAGGCAUGCAGGCGGUGGCAUUGCUGGGGUCUAGAACUGAUGGAGUGAAAAGGAGGGAGAGCAAAGGAGGUUUCUAAAGGCUCUGCAGUCAGCUCAACCUGUUGGACUGCAUGUGCUUUGUGUGACAUGUUACAAGAGUUGCACUGAGGUCUGAAUUUACUUUGGGUCUCAAAUCUUAGCAAAAUAAACAGUACGGUUAUAUGGGUUAUAUGAUGUGGAUACUACAGGGAAGAAUCACCCACUUCAAUAUACUGCUGGGCACGAGCUGGGCAGAAGAAAGAGGUUUGAUUGCCCGCGUUGAGAAAUCAGGGCUGGCAAAGAAACCGGUCGCAGUCUCUGUGUGUUCUCUUACUGUGUUUUUGUGUCCUCUGUCAAAUCCGGUGGAAAUAUUUAAGAAGGAUCAUUCAUUUUUAAUGUUCUCUCGGUGGCCUUAGCAGUACAGUGAAGAGAUAAAAGCGCCCUUUUCCAGUGGAGAGAGCAGAAAUUCACGUGGUUACAGCUGAUUACCAGCCUGCGGACACAUCAGGGCGAGGAUGACGGCACCGGGCUCUUUGAGGUUUCCUACACAGACCAUAAACGGGGCCGUGUGCCCCUUGGAUGGGUUGUAAGCACUGCACCAAGAGGCCCGGCUGGGCUGACAGCGAGAGCUCUCCAGCCAAGCAGGCCAAGAGCAAAACCACCGUGAAAUGUUGGGCAGCACCACGCAGUGUCAGCCACCCAGGGCUCCCUCCUGGCCCGGGCACCGCAGUCCUUCCUCCUGUGCAUUGCGGUACUCGGCACAAAGCUCCCCCAAAGCAGAGCUGUUCCUGCUCUCGCAGCAACACGUGGCUGCCCACCAGCUCCUGCAGUACCCGGGUGCUGCAGGGCUGGGGAACCUUCCCCGUGUCACAGCUCCUCACCAAGCCAGAGCACGCAGCCGUGGUAGCGCUUAAUGAUUUUCUGAACCUUGCCUUCAUUCUACUCCAUAGCCAUUCUCAUUAACUCGCUGCAUUAAUUUUAUACAGCUUAAACUGGCAGCCAGUCCCUCUGAAGCAGAGAAGUGGUAUUUUUAAAUCUAUAUUCUGUCUAUAAAUACAUCUGCCUCACAGAAAUCAGCUGUUUGUGGCUGAUCUUAUAGCAGAGAGGAUGACUCAAAGAGGCUUACGUGCUGCAAUGUUUUCAUCAGAGCUGGAAAAAAAAAAAAGAAAAAAGAAAAAAGAAAAAAAAAAAGCACCCUAAAUUCCCUGUGAAUUAGAUGGGUCCAUGACUACGGACAGAUCCUGUACUUCUUCCCAGCCAGCCAAAGUGUGGCACUGGUUUCGGGUGGUCUGUACCCAACACAGUAAGACUAGCCGUCACAUUUUGGUACGCUUCCCUAGAAAACCAGCCAGCAUUUGAUUUCCUCAAGUAAAAAUUAACAAGGCAGAACUACCGCGUAGACUGCUAAUUACUGCAAACGCCACGCAGCUCGUGGUUUCCUCCCCUCCCUGCCCCACUUUGUUGCAGAACACGUACCAGCCGUUGUAUUGAAUUGUACACCCAGAAAAUAAUAUUAAAAGGACAUGAGCGAGGCUGCAGAGCCAGCCCUGCAGAAGCAGGGGGCUCUAAUGGAAUUAAGGCGCUCCCUGAAGCCAUUAGCUGGGAGAUGAAGGCUCGGUGAUGGCUUCGGGGACGUGCUGGUUUAGGUGAGGGGAAAGGGGAACGACCCCAUCUGAAAAUAAGAAGAUGGGUGUUUGGGUACCAGGUGCUGGGAUGUGGCUGGCACAGCACGGAGAGGGCCGGGGCUCCUGGAGAGCACCUGCAGCUCCUCCUCCGAGCUGCUCGAAGCCUCCUGGCCGAGCGUGCCCAAGGGUAGACAAGCCCGGAGCUGAUGCCCAUCCUCCCUCUGUACCUUCCUGGUUAUGACAGCCUAAAGCCCCGUGACACCUCCC